GCCAGUGUGGUGUAGUGGUUUGAGCGCUGGACCACAACUCUAGAGGCCAGGGUUCAAAUCCCCACUCAGCCA